UAGAUACCCUAUUAUUAUUAAUCAAUAUUGAGUUUGGAGAGUAAAAGCUUAUUGCUUAAAAACCAAAGAAUAUGGCGGUGUCUUAUUCUAUCAGGGGAACCUGUACCUUAAUUUGAUAGUCCACGAUUAUAUAUUCCUAAAUUUGAAAUUUCAGCUUGUGUACUGCCGAAUUAUAAGCCUCUAUAGAUUUGCUUAUAUAACAAUUAGAUAAAAUAGUAAGUCAGGUCAAAGUGCAGCUCAUAUUUAGGUGGGAUUGGGUUACAUUUAUUUUAAGAUUCAGAUAAUUUUAUUUUACAAUAUUAUUAUAAGAAGGAUUUGAAAGUAAUUAAAUAUUAUAUAUUUAAUGAAUUCGACCCUAAGAUGUGUACACAUC
rnacentral:rRNA from 1 species